rnacentral:rRNA from 1 species
GUGAGGAAUAUUGGGCAAUGGGCGCAAGCCUGACCCAGCCAUGCCGCGUGCAGGAAGACGGUCCUAUGGAUUGUAAACUGCUUUUAUACGGGAAGAAACACUCCCUCGUGAGGGAGCUUGACGGUACCGUAAGAAUAAGGAUCGGCUAACUCCGUGCCAGCAGCCGCGGUAAUACGGAGGAUCCAAGCGUUAUCCGGAAUCAUUGGGUUUAAAGGGUCCGUAGGCGGCCUUAUAAGUCAGUGGUGAAAUCCCAUCGCUCAACGAUGGAACUGCCAUUGAUACUGUAAGGCUUGAAUAAUUGUGAAGUAACUAGAAUAUGUAGUGUAGCGGUGAAAUGCUUAGAUAUUACAUGGAAUACCAAUUGCGAAGGCAGGUUACUAACAAUUGAUUGACGCUGAUGGACGAAAGCGUGGGGAGCGAACAGGAUUAGAAACCCCGGUAGUCC